rnacentral:rRNA from 1 species
UACGUAGGGUGCGAGCGUUGUCCGGAAUUAUUGGGCGUAAAGAGCUUGUAGGCGGUUUGUCGCGUCUGCUGUGAAAAUCCGGGGCUCAACCCCGGACUUGCAGUGGGUACGGGCAGACUAGAGUGUGGUAGGGGAGACUGGAAUUCCCGGUGUAGCGGUGAAAUGCGCAGAUAUCGGGAGGAACACCGGUGGCGAAGGCGGUUCUCUGGGCCUGUACUGACGCUGAGGAGCGAAAGCGUGGGGAGCGAACAGG